AUUGAACGCUGGCGGAAUGCUUUACACAUGCAAGUCGAACGGUAGAGGGGGCAACCCCUCGAGAGUGGCGAACGGGUGAGUAAUAUAUCGGAACGUGCCCAGUCGUGGGGGAUAACGUAGCGAAAGUUACGCUAAUACCGCAUACGAUCUAAGGAUGAAAGCGGGGGAUCGCAAGACCUCGCGCGAUUGGAGCGGCCGAUAUCAGAUUAGGUAGUUGGUGGGGUAAAGGCUCACCAAGCCAACGAUCUGUAGCUGGUCUGAGAGGACGACCAGCCACACUGGAACUGAGACACGGUCCAGACUCCUACGGGAGGCAGCAGUGGGGAAUUUUGGACAAUGGACGCAAGUCUGGUCCAGCCAUUCCCCGUGCAGGAUGAAGGCCCUCGGGUUGUAAACUGCUUUUGUACGGAACGAAAAGGUCUCUCUUAAUACGGGGGGCUCAUGACGGUACCGUAAGAAUAAGCACCGGCUAACUACGUGCCAGCAGCCGCAGUAA
rnacentral:rRNA from 1 species